UUAGAUGCGAGGAGACACUGUUUCAAAGAUGCCGAACCGUUGCGUUGUUGAGGGUGUUCAACUAGCUACAAAGAAAAAAGGAAAAUACAUAAAUUUCCGAAAAGCCGAAUAGCAAAGCAGUAAGUGAAGUUUGUGCAAUGUACAAGGGUGGAUUACUGGAUUUCAAGCAACCCUCCAAGAACAGUGUUACAUGUGGUAUACAUUUUAAACCCGACUGUUAUUGGAAAAAGUUUGGAUCUACCACUGAGAUACUGUUAGAGUCUGCUAUACCUACAGUAAAGUAAAAAAAGAUGCACCUGUUACACCACAAAAAAGAAAGCGGACAUCUGCAGCUGCAUUUGCCAAACGGUCAAGACAAAGAGAAACACUAAAUGAUCUGAAAGACAAUUGUAUUCAAACUGAAACUGUACAAUACAGCAAGCAAACACAAACAAGCCAACGCAGAGGAAAACUUGAUAAAAAUACACAAACCAACUUGGAAAGAGCAUCUGUUGCGUGUCAGUGUGACUUGCUUUGUGCACCGCCGCUGCAAAUACUUGUAAGCGAUAGAGAAAUUGUUAAAUGUUCACCCGUCACAACCAGAAAACAUAGAAAGUUGUGAAUUGGAAGAUUCUCACCUCCUAAAAGUACUUCUCAUACUUCAUUUGAUAAUCCCAAGUUCAAAGAGAGAUGAAAGGUAAAGUUAAAUUUUUAAUGAAAAAAAUACAUAGUAUCUGGCUAUGGAUGUUCAGAACUUACAUAAGACACCAAAAAAGGAAAAAUAGUGCACACUUAACACAUACAAGUGUGGAAAAAUAGUCAACAACAGCAAUUGCAAAAGUUGAAAAACAACACAGAAACUUUAGUUGUUGGUGGUGAUGGAAUAUGUGACAACCCAGAACACAUUGCACACUGCUAAAUAUGGUUCUUAUGUAUUAAUGGACUUAAACAACAACAAUAUUUGUUCAACUAGUUAAGGUAUAUGUAUGAUUUACCAACAUACACUACACUCUAGUUAUUUUUUUCUAGGUUGCCUUCACAAAAAUGAGAUAAAAGCAGUAGUUAGGAAAAUGAGGUAAAAGGCAGUAUCUAGCUGAAUGGGUUAAGAUGGGCUGUUUUGAAACUAAAAGAUGAGCACAUAAAGGACAGGUAGAACUUUUUCAUUCAUGUGCACAUCGUGUGUUGGAAUAUUCAAGGGGAAAAUGGCUCAGCAGCCUACCCGCAGUGAUGGUAAACUAUGCUACAGCAUAUCAUUUCCAGGGAGCAAAAAAGGUCGCUACGUACUGCGAAAAGUAAUGACUACAAAAAUUUGUGGGAUUGUGCCUUCAUAGUCUAUAUUGUUAUCCUAAACAUUCAAAAAAAUUUUUUUUUUUUUUUUUUAAAUAUUUCCAGAAUACAUACAAGAACUGUACACCAAAUAGGUUUAAUACAUGGAUGAUGGUUCUUGCUGCUCACCAAUACUUUCUUGUCCACCACCUUUAACCUCUAAUUACCUUAACCUGACAAGGAAUGUGUUUCCUCCACAUCUUUAUCUAGGUCAGAAAUUAAUUAUAAGAAUAAAUCAAAAAUUUGGAUCAG